rnacentral:rRNA from 1 species
CCUACGGGAGGCAGCAGUAGGGAAUCUUCCGCAAUGGACGAAAGUCUGACGGAGCAACGCCGCGUGAACGAUGAAGGCCUUCGGGUCGUAAAGUUCUGUUGUUAGGGAAGAACAAGUGCUAGUUGAAUAAGCUGGCACCUUGACGGUACCUAACCAGAAAGCCACGGCUAACUACGUGCCAGCAGCCGCGGUAAUACGUAGGUGGCAAGCGUUGUCCGGAAUUAUUGGGCGUAAAGCGCGCGCAGGCGGUUUCUUAAGUCUGAUGUGAAAGCCCCCGGCUCAACCGGGGAGGGUCAUUGGAAACUGGGAAACUUGAGUGCAGAAGAGGAAAGUGGAAUUCCAAGUGUAGCGGUGAAAUGCGUAGAGAUUUGGAGGAACACCAGUGGCGAAGGCGACUUUCUGGUCUGUAACUGACGCUGAGGCGCGAAAGCGUGGGGAGCAAACAGGAUUAGAUACCCUGGUAGUCCACGCUGUAAACGAUGAGUGCUAAGUGUUAGAGGGUUUCCGCCUUUAGUGCUGAAGUUACGCAUUAAGCNCUCGCGUGGNGAGUCGCGAGAGNGAAGUAGAAGAGUUAGUAGNGUUGAGNGNGCGAGACGACGACGAGGAGAGG